AUGUGCACCCCGAAUUUGGCGCAGGUCACCCACAUGUUCGACAUCUUCGGCUACAGCAAGCACAGGGGCAUGGGCAACGAGAAGUUCAUCAGGUCCGGUACUUUCUCUGUCGGGGGCCACGACUGGUCCAUCCGCUUCUACCCGGACGGGUACAGCACGGAAAAAGUCGAGAAGGAUUACAUCUCAGUUUAUCUCGAGCUCAUGAGCAAGGGAGCCAAGGUGCGGGGGUCCUGCGACCUGAGGUUGGUCGACCAGAGCACCGGAAUGUCGGCUUCGGUGCACAAGACAGAGCUGAGGACUUUUGAUCCUGCUGGCCUCAGUAGAGGGGAUGUUGAGUCUGCGUUCCUCGCGAACGAUCGCCUCACGAUCGAAUGCAUCGUCACUGUUAUCGAAGAGCCAUGCGUGACUGAAUCCAAACCGUUCCCCAAAACCGAGGUGCCGGUGCCACCCUCCGAUAUCGCCGAGCAUCUCAGCAAGCUUCUGGAAGACGACGAGGGGUUCGAUGUCACUUUCUGUGUUCGAAGAAAGACCAUGAGAGCUCACAGGUCCAUUCUCGCCGCGCGAUCACCUGUCUUCAAAGCGGAGCUCUUUGGAUCGAUGAAGGAGGCGAGGAUGCCGCGGCGCGUUACCAUCAAAGACAUGCAACCUGAUGUUUUCAGCGCCCUGCUCCAUUUCAUAUAUACCGACUCUUUGCCUGAUGGUGACAAGAAUGCUGACAUGAUCCGUCAUUUACUGGUGGCUGCUGACAGAUAUGCCAUGGAGAGGCUGAAGCUGGUUUGCCAAAGUAUCCUCUGCGAGAAUCUGAACGUUGACACCGUGGCAACCACAUGGGCUUUGGCUGACCAGCAUAGCUGCGACAAGCUUAAGGAUGCUUGCGUUGAGUACAUCGCUUGUUCGAAUGCCAUGGAUGCUGUGGUGGAAACCCAAGGCUAUAAGAAUCUCAAAGUGGCUGACCCGUCUCUCAUAGUGGAUCUGUUGGAGAGGACAACAAAGGUUCGCAAUGCAUGGCUUGCCCAUCAUCAUAUAUAG
rnacentral:rRNA from 1 species